rnacentral:tRNA from 2 species
CCGUAGCUCAGUCGGUAGAGCAAUGGACUGAAAAUCCAUGUGUCGUUGGUUCGAUUCCGACCGGG